AUUGAACGCUGGCGGCAGGCCUAACACAUGCAAGUCGAACGAGUGGCGGACGGGUGAGUAAUGCCUGGGAAACUGCUUGAUGGAGGGGGAUAACUACUGGAAACGGUAGCUAAUACCGCAUACCAUAAAAUGUGCCCAGAUGGGUUUAGCUAGUUGGUGGGGGAACGGCUCACCAAGGCGACGAGCCCUAGCUGGUCUGAGAGGAUGACCGGCACCACUGGAACUGGUACCCGGUCCAGCCUACUACGGGAGGCAGCGGUGGGUAGUAUUGCACAAUGGGUGCAAGCGUGAUGCAGCGAUGCCGCGUGUAUGAAGAAGGCCGUCGGGUUGUAAGGUACUUUCAGCGGAGAGACGUUACCCGCAGAAGAAGCACCGGCUAACUCCGUGCCAGCAGCCGCGGUAAUU
rnacentral:rRNA from 1 species